rnacentral:rRNA from 1 species
GACGAACGCUGGCGGCGUGCUUAACACAUGCAAGUCGAACGGAAAGGCCCUGCUUUUGGUGCUCGCUUGAGUGGCGAGCGGGUGAGUAACACGUGAGUAACCUUUCCCUUACUGAUGGAUAACUUCAGGUAACGCGGGCUAAUACCGGGUAUGAUCUCUUGCUGCAUGGGGUUGGAAGGAAAGGUUCGGUGGUUGGGGAUGGACUCGCGGUUUAUCAGCUUGUUGGUGGGGUAGUUCCUUACCAAGGCUUUGAGGGCUAGCCGGCCUGAGAGGGGGACCGGCAACAUUGGGCCUGCGGAAGGCCCCAGCUUCCUACGGGGGGCAGAAGGGGGAAAUAUGGCACAAUGGGGGGAAGCCUGUUGCAGAACCGCCGGGUGCGGAAUACCGGCCUUCGGGUGGUAAACCGCUUUCGCAUGUGCCGAGGCGUGAGUGACGGUAAUGGGUAAAGAAGCACCGGCUAACUACGUG